AUGUCUUCAUUUUUAAAAAAUAUAUUAUUCUUGUUAUGCAUUUAUAUAUACAUAAACAUAACUAAUAGUAAUAAAACUAUAAAUUUAGCUGACCCUAUGAGUACUAGUAUGUAUAGUCUUUAUCCUAAUAAUAAUGUUACUAAUCUAUUACCACAUCAGUACAAUGCAACAACUAAUAUUUUAGAAGGAAAAGUGUCACCGAUUAGAGAAUCGAAUAUACAUACAUGUGAAGCGGCUGGAUGUUCAACUUAUAAAAAUAUUAUUGAAAAUAAUUAUGAUGGAUGUUUAUAUGGUUUUAUAUGUAAAGAAUGUAAAAAAACACAAGUUAAAAAUAAAGAUAUUUGUUUUUAUUCUUCAUUAGAAGGAUUUGAAAAUUUAUAUGAAGGUGUGUUAGAAGAUUAUAGUUUAACUGAUUAUGAUACUUUUACAAUUCCAUUAAAUAAAUCAAGUAAAACUAAUAAAGUAGAAAAAGAAAAUAGACAUGUACAUGUACAGGUAAACAAUAAUAAAAAUCAUUAUAAAAAAAUUAAUAAUAAUAAUGAUAAAAAUAAUUACUCUAAAGAUAAGGAAGAGGAUGAAAAUGAAGAAGAUGAUGAAAGUGGAGAAGAUGAUGAAAAUGAAGAUGAAGAAGAAAAAAAUAGUAAAGAGAUAGAUAAUGAAAAAUCUGAUUUAAAAAAAAAAAAAAACAAUAUAACAGAAGAUUCUUAUCUGGAAAUUAGUUCAAACGGAGAUAUACUACAAACAGAUAAAUAUGUAACACCUUCCCAUCUGCUAAAAAAAAAAAAAAAAAAAAAAAAAAAAAAUAAUAAUAAUAAUAAUAAUAAUAAUAAUAAUAAUAAUAAUAAUAAUAAUAGUGAUAGUAAUAAUUUUGAACCACCCUUUUUUAAUUUAUUAGACCAACAUAUGGAUUAUGAAAAAGCUGAAAAUAAUGAUGAUAUGUACUAUUCUUUUUUGAGUAGUGAUAAAAAAAAAAACACUAUACACAAAAAACUUAAGAUUAGUAUUAAUACAUAUAAAGACUAUUUGAAACAAAAAUUAAAUAAAUGCGAUUUAUCUGAUAGUGGCGAAUCUACUAUUUAUAUAAAAUUAAUUUUACAAAUUGUACGAAACGAAAAUGAAAUAUAUAUUGAUCCAAAUAAAAAAAGUAUUAAAACAAAUGGUGGAACUGGUAGUAAUAUGUAUAAUGAUUUUGACAACAUAAGUAGUAAAAAAAAAAAAAAUUUGAAUUUUGAUGAAGAUGAGGAAGAAGAUGACAUGGAUGAAGAUGAUGAAGGUGAUGAUAGGCCUAAUAAUAAUAAUAAUAAUAAUAAUAGUAAUAAUAAUAAUAAUAAUAAUAGUAAUAAUAAUAAUAAUAGUAAUAAUAGUAAUAGUAAAGUAAAAGAUGCUGAAAGUACUUACAGUGGUAGUACUAACAACGAUAGUGCUUACAACAGCAGUAGUGAUAGUGAUAAAAAUACAUUUAAAGAAAUAGAACAACAUGAUUAUAACAAUCAAAACAACAGUGAUAUAACAGGUAUAUACAAUAAUAAUGGUACAGUAAAUAAUGAUACAGUAAAUAAUAAUUAUCAUUAUAAUGGACAGCCUAGUGACUUAGAAAACCCUCCAUACAAUAUGAACUACUAUAACACAAACAAAUAUAACGAAACAAAUCCUAAUAUAAACAGUUUCAUACCACCAACUAUCUACUACAAUAACAAUAAUAAUACAUCAACUAUGAAUUACAGUGAUAACAAUCCAUUAAGCAAAUACAAUUACCUCGAAUUACAAAACAUGACUAAACGUAGUACCAUAAAAAAUAACAAUGACAACAGUACAAUAACUAAUCUUCCAAACAAUAACAACAACUUAAGCAAUUCGAAUGUAAUAUAUAACAUACCAGUACAAAAAAAGAAUAUUCCUUUUAUGAAAAUAAAUUACAAGAAGAUAUGCAUGAAGAUAAUAUGGAAAACUAUUAUAAAUCGAAAAAAAGGUUUUUUUAGUUCGUUGUUUCAAAAAAUAUUUAAAAAAAAUAGUGAUGAUGAUGGUGAUGAAGAAAUGGGGGAAAAAAAAAAAGUUUUUUUAAUCGAUUAA
ensembl:lncRNA